rnacentral:tRNA from 17 species
GCCACCUUAGCUCAGUCGGCAGAGCGUCUCACUCGUAAUGAGAAGGUCGCGAGUUCGAUUCUCGCAGGUGGCU